rnacentral:rRNA from 1 species
CCUACGGGGUGCAGCAGUGGGGAAUAUUGCACAAUGGGGGAAACCCUGAUGCAGCGACGCCGCGUGAGUGAAGAAGUAUUUCGGUAUGUAAAGCUCUAUCAGCAGGGAAGAUAAUGACGGUACCUGACUAAGAAGCCCCGGCUAACUACGUGCCAGCAGCCGCGGUAAUACGUAGGGGGCAAGCGUUAGCCGGAUUUACUGGGUGUAAAGGGUGCGUAGGUGGGAGGGCAAGUCAGAUGUGAAAGCCCGGGGAUCAACCCCGGUACUGAAUUUGAAACUGUGCAGCUGGAGUGCAGGAGGGUUAAGCGGAAUGCCGAGUGUAGCGGUGAAAUGCGUAGAUAUUAGGAGGACAACCAGUGGCGAAGGCGGCUGACUGGACUGUAACUUACACUGAGGCACGAAAGCGUGGGGAGCAAACAGGAGUAGAUACCCUGGUAGUC